rnacentral:rRNA from 1 species
AACGAACGCUGGCGGCAGGCUUAACACAUGCAAGUCGAACGGGUGUAGCAAUACAUCAGUGGCAGACGGGUGAGUAACACGUGGGAACCUUCCUCGUUGUACGGGACAACUCAGGGAAACUUGAUCUAAUACCGUAUACGUCCGAGAGGAGAAAGAUUUAUCGCAAUGAGACGGGCCCGCGUCGGAUUAGCUAGUUGGUAGGGUAACGGCCUACCAAGGCGACGAUCCGUAGCUGAUCUGAGAGGAUGAUCAGCCACACUGGGACUGAGACACGGCGCAGAGUCCUACGGGAGGCAGCAGUGGGGAAUCUUGGACAAUGGGCGCAAGCCUGAUCCAGCCAUGCCGCGUAAGUGAAGAAGGCCUUAGGGUUGUAAAGCUCUUUUGCCAGGGACGAUAAUGACGGUACCUGGAGAAUAAGCCCCGGCAAACUUCGUGCCAGCCGCCGCCGUAA